rnacentral:rRNA from 1 species
UUCUAUUAGACUUAAUUAAUAGUACAAUCUGCUCAAUGAAACUUUAAAUAGCCGCAAAAUCGUGCUAAGGUAGCAUAAUAAUUUGUCUUUUAAUUGAAGACCAGAACAAAAGAUUAAACAUUUUAAUUAACAUCUUUAAUUAAUAUUUUAAAUUUAUCUUAAAUGUAAAAAGACAUUUAUUCAAAAGAAAGACAACAAGACCCUAUUGAACUUUACUAAAGUUAAACUGGGACAGUUAAUUAAUUAUAAUUUUAAGAAAAUUAUUUAAAUAAAUGAUCUAAUAUCAUUAAUUAAAUGAUCUAGUUACCAUAGGGAUAACAGCGUAAUAAUUUUCUAAAGCUCAUAUCUAAAAAUUAGAUUACGACCUCGAUGUUGAAUARUUACCUAAUUUAAGCAAAAGAAAAUAAAGGAAGUCUGUUCGACUUUUAAAAAAUUACA